rnacentral:rRNA from 1 species
GACGAACGCUGGCGGCGUGCUUAACACAUGCAAGUCGAACGCUGAAGCUCAGCUUUUGUUGGGUGGAUGAGUGGCGAACGGGUGAGUAACACGUGAGUAACCUGCCCCCUUCUUUGGGAUAACGCCCGGAAACGGGUGCUAAUACUGGAUAUUCACUGGUCUUCGCAUGGGGGUUGGUGGAAAGGGUUUUUCUGGUGGGGGAUGGGCUCGCGGCCUAUCAGCUUGUUGGUGGGGUGAUGGCCUACCAAGGCUUUGACGGGUAGCCGGCCUGAGAGGGUGACCGGUCACAUUGGGACUGAGAUACGGCCCAGACUCCUACGGGAGGCAGCAGUGGGGAAUAUUGGACAAUGGGCGCAAGCCUGAUGCAGCGACGCCGCGUGAGGGAUGGAGGCCUUCGGGUUGUGAACCUCUUUCGCUCAUGGUCAAGCCGCAACAAUGGUUGUGGUGAGGGUAGUGGGUAAAGAAGCGCCGGCUAACUACGUG